UGUAUCCUACUUAUGGUUUAUUUGUCUCGGUGAAAUUCAUACCACAUAUCCUUGUUUUCAUUUACGAUUUCUGUACUAAAAUGCAAAGUUUGAUAACACUUUCUCAAAAUAUCACUCAAAACUAAUGAUUAAAACAAAUGCCUGCGAAAAUAACACUUUCAUUACUGCCAUUGAUAAAGUAAUCAAGGACCAUUACUCUUGAUUGACAAAAAUGAAAUUUGUUAUUAUCAAAAUUGACCUCC
rnacentral:lncRNA from 1 species